AUUUAUUGUACUUAAGUGUAACUAAGAAAUUAAGAGGUUUGUAAAUUUUUAAACAAGAUCAAUGGUUUAAUCAAAAGAUAUUGAGGUUUUAAACUACCUUAGGAUUUGAUUUAGGAUUUAAGAUUUGAUUUAAGAUUUGAUUUAGGAUUUUAGGGUUGUGUAAAGUUUGAUUUAGGAUUUGAUAUAGGAUUUUAGGAUUGUAUAAAGUUUGAUUUAGGAUUUCAUUUAGGAUUUUAGGAUUGUGUAAAGUUUGAUUUAGGAUUUGAUUUAGGAUUUGAUUUAGGAUUUGAUUUAGGAUUUAAGAUUUAAGAUUUGAUUAGAAUUUGAUUUGAAAUUUAGGAUUUUUUUAGGAUUUGAUUUAGGAUUUAAGAUUUAGUUAGGGUUUAUUUUAGGAUUUAGAGUUUAAUUAGGAUUUUAUUUAAGGUUUUAGAAUUUGUCUAAGAUUUGAUUGAAAUGUACUAGGAUUUCAACUAGGAUUAAAUUAGAACUUGGUUGAAAUUUAUUUAGGAUAUAUUUGUGAUUUUUUUAAUAUUUUUUAAGGCUUCUUA
rnacentral:lncRNA from 1 species